CACGUCAGCGUGACCUGCUAACGUGGAAGGAUAUCGCUUCCUCAAGGACGCGAUUUCCUUCCACGUUAGCAGGUCGCGCUGACGUGG
rfam:Gossypium raimondii Chr10_contig_809, whole genome shotgun sequence.